CCUAUUGAUUUUCAGGUCACUAGGUCAAAGGUCAAGGUCACAGUGACCCGAAAUAGUAAAAUAGUUUCCGGAUGAUAACUCAAGAAUGCUUAGGCCUAGGAUCAUGAAACUUGAUAGGUAGAUUGAUCAUGACUCGCAGAUGACCCCUAUUGAUUUUCAGGUCACUAGGUCAAAGGUCAAGGUCACAGUGACCCGAAAUAGUAAAAUGGUUUCCGGAU